rnacentral:tRNA from 1 species
AAUAGGAUGUCUGAUUAAAGUAAUGAAUUGUAAAUUUAUUUAAGGUUUAAAACCUCUUAUUA